rnacentral:rRNA from 1 species
CGCCUUUUGACAACCAAUUAAAGGUCCAGCCUGCCCAGUGAAACUUAAACGGCCGCGGUAUCUUAACCGUGCAAAGGUAGCAUAAUCACUUGUUCUUUAAAUAAGGACUAGUAUGAACGGCACCACGAGAGUUAUACUGUCUCCCUCUUUUAAUCAGUGAAACUAAUCUCCCCGUGAAGAAGCGGGGAUAAACCUAUAAGACGAGAAGACCCCAUGGAGCUUAAAACGAACAUCACCUUGCAACACCUACACCACCUAAACACGCAAGCCUGACUACUAAGUUUUUGGUUGGGGCGACCGCGGAGUAAAACCAAACCUCCACGAUGAAAGGAAAUAAACCCCUAAUCUAAGAGACACCCCUCACAGAAUCAAAACAUUGACUAAAAUUGACCCAAUACAAUUGAACAACGAACCAAGUUACCCUGGGGAUAACAGCGCAAUCCAUUUUUAGAGCCCCUAUCGACAAAUGGGUUUACGACCUCGAUGUUGGAUCAGGGUAUCCCAGCGGCGCAGCCACUGCUAAAGGUUCGUUUGUUCAACGAUCAAAACCCU